CCGCGGGAUUAGAGUUUGAUCCUGGCUCAGGACGAACGCUGGCGGCGUGCCUCAUACAUGCAAGUGGAGCGACGAACCAGGGCUUGCCCUGGUGCAAAGCCGCGAACGGGUGAGUAACACGUGGAUAACCUGCCCCGAUGACCGGGAUAACCCGAGGAAACUCGAGCUAAUACCGGAUGUGCUCGCAACCCAUAAGGGUUGCGCGUAAAGGAAGCUUCGGCCUCCGCAUUGGGAGGGGUCCGUGGCCCAUUAGCUAGUUGGUGGGGUAACGGCCUACCAAGGCAACGAUGGGUAGCUGGUCUGAGAGGACGAUCAGCCACACUGGGACUGAGACACGGCCCAGACUCCUACGGGAGGCAGCAGUAGGGAAUCUUGCGCAAUGCGCGAAAGCGUGACGCAGCAACGCCGCGUGGGGGAAGACGGCCUUCGGGUUGUAAACCCCUUUCAGGAGGGACGAAGGUUCGGCGGCGAAUAGCCGGCCGGACUGACGGUACCUUCAGAAGAAGCCCCGGCUAACUACGUGCCAGCAGCCGCGGUAAUACGUAGGGGGCGAGCGUUGUCCGGAAUCAUUGGGCGUAAAGGGCGCGUAGGCGGCCCGAUCAGUCCGCUGUAAAAGUCAAAGGCUUAACCUUUGAAUGCCGGUGGAUACUGUCAGGCUAGAGUC
rnacentral:rRNA from 1 species